GCAAGUCGAGCGGAAACGACAUUAUUGAAUUUUCGGAGGAUUUAAUGGGCGUCGAGCGGCGGACGGGUGAGUAAUGCCUAGGAAAUUGCCUUGAUGUGGGGGAUAACCAUUGGAAACGUUGGCUAAUACCGCAUAAUGCCUACGGGCCAAAGAGGGGGAUCUUCGGACCUCUCGCGUCAAGAUAUGCCUAGGUGGGAUUAGCUAGUUGGUGAGGUAAUGGCUCACCAAGGCGACGAUCCCUAGCUGGUCUGAGAGGAUGAUC
rnacentral:rRNA from 1 species